GGAGGGCAAGUCUGGUGCCAGCAGCCGCGGUAAUUCCAGCUCCAAUAGCGUAUAUUAAAGUUGUUGCAGUUAAAAAGCUCGUAGUUGAACCUUGGGUCUGGCUGGCCGGUCCGCCUCACCGCGAGUACUGGUCCGGCUGGACCUUUCCUUCUGGGGAACCUCAUGGCCUUCACUGGCUGUGGGGGGAACCAGGACUUUUACUGUGAAAAAAUUAGAGUGUUCAAAGCAGGCCUUUGCUCGAAUACAUUAGCAUGGAAUAAUAGAAUAGGACGUGUGGUUCUAUUUUGUUGGUUUCUAGGACCGCCGUAAUGAUUAAUAGGGACAGUCGGGGGCAUCAGCAUUCAAUUGUCAGAGGUGAAAUUCUUGGAUUUAUUGAAGACUAACUACUGCGAAAGCAUUUGCCAAGGAUGUUUUCAUUAAUCAGGAACGAAAGUUAGGGGAUCGAAGACGAUCAGAUACCGUCGUAGUCUUAACCAUAAACUAUGCCGACUAGGGAUCGGACGGUGUUAUUUUUUGACCCGUUCGGCGCCUUACGGGAAAC
rnacentral:rRNA from 1 species